GUGCGCCAUGUGCCUGUGGAGGUUCCUGACAAAAUUUGCGGUUGUUCAACAUAGUCAUUGAGGGUCAGCCCAGGGAAGACUGUUGCUGUGAUCACAAUGAAUGAUGUCUUUUUUCAUUUGAAGAAAUGAAGAUGGCAGCACCAGGACUGUCCUGCCAAGCUUUUUCAAGAAUGCUGGAUCAGCGAACUGUCCGCUUUGGUCGUACUGGCAAGAUCUCCACAGACAGUUUUCAGAAAAGCUUUUUUGAGUGGGAGGCUGUCCGUUUUGAGGUGGAUAAAAUCUGCAAGGAAGAGCCUUUCAUCUGUCCUGCAUGCACCCCAGAUAUUCUGGCAGUUUCAGUAGAUGGAAACCGCAAGCUUUACCGU